rnacentral:rRNA from 1 species
UUAGAUACCCUAUUAUUUUAAAUGUUAAUUAUUAAACUAAGUGAUUAAUAGUUAUGUUCUUUAAAGCUAAAUAAUUUGGCGGUAUUUUAUACUUUUCAGAGGAACCUGUUCUAUAAUUGAUAGUCCACGAUUGAAUUAACUUAAAUUAGAAGUUUUUAUAUCUUCGUUAUUAAAUAUUUUAAUAGAAUUUAAUAUUUAAGAUUUCUUUAUAAAGGAAUAAAUCAGAUCAAGGUGAAGUUUAUAUUUAAGAUGAAAUGGGUUACACUAAAUUAUAUUUAUGAAUUUAAAAAUUUUAAAAUUUGAUGAAAUUGGAUUUGAAAGUAAUUAGUUAUAC